rnacentral:rRNA from 1 species
UACGUAGGGGGCAAGCGUUGUCCGGAUUUAUUGGGCGUAAAGCGCUCGCAGGCGGCUUGAUGCGUCGUGCGUGAAACACCCCGGCUCAACUGGGGAGGGUCGUGCGAUACGGUCAGGCUUGAGGCCAGUAGGGGGACGCGGAAUUCCGGGUGUAGUGGUGGAAUGCGUAGAUAUUGGAAAGACCGCCAAUGGCGAAGGCACUCUACUGGGCCACAACUGACACUGAGAGACGAAAGCUAGGGGAGCAAAUGGG